ensembl:lncRNA
GUAGAAACUAAAACCUGAAUGGUCAUGGCUGCUCUUUCAGCCGUAGAAGUAGGUUUCAAAGAAGAAAUGAGAAGCAGAGAGUACAGAGAAAGAAGAGGUACUCAUCCUUGAGUGCUACCAGUUGAAUUCCUGUUGCAUAGAGCUAUAAUCCACACUGCAUGUUUGAAGUUCUGCUGGGUUUUCGACCUUCUCAAAAUAGUGUGACCAGACCUAGGAUCAUUGUUGAGUUCCCAGAACCCUUUCAGAAGCCUUUAAAAAAGUGACUGACUUCACAGAGCACAUCACAGAGGAUUUCAGAUUACACCACACCGGCACCUGGAGACCAUCUUCCUUAUGCCUGAGAAGUUACAAGAUGGUAUUUGUUCAUACACCACUUCAGCACCUACACAAAUAUGAAUUCAGAUAUGGAUCCAUUUUCAGAUGGUGUACUGACCUAAUUUACUCAGACACUACAGUCUUUCUCUAUAUCAACUAUCUGAUGUGCUUGCCAAGCCACACUUCAUCAUAGUUGAAAAGUCAGAGCUGUCAGGAGAAGUCCUCGGUAACUGAAAAGAUAAACAUCACUUCUGUUUUCAAGAGAGAAAGGAAGACCUGGGGAAGGACAGGCCAGUGAACCUCACCUCUGUACAUGGGAAGAUCAUGGAAUAUAUCCUCCUCUAAGUUACGUUAAGAUAGAUGCAAGAUGAGAAGGUGAAGCACAGCUUCACAAGAGCA